UGUCGGUGUAGAGCAGCCCGGUAGCUCGUCAGGCUCAUAACCUGAAGGCCGCAGGUUCAAAUCCUGCCCCCGCAACCA
rnacentral:tRNA from 2 species